GAUGAACGCUGGCGGCGUGCCUAAUACAUGCAAGUCGAGCGAACGGACGAGAAGCUUGCUUCUCUGAUGUUAGCGGCGGACGGGUGAGUAACACGUGGAUAACCUACCUAUAAGACUGGGAUAACUUCGGGAAACCGGAGCUACUACCGGAUAAUAUUUUGAACCGCAUUGUUCAAAAGUGAAAGACGGUCUUGCUGUCACUUAUAGAUGGAUCCGCGCUGCAUUAGCUAGUUGGUAAGGUAACGGCUUACCAAGGCAACGAUGCAUAGCCGACCUGAGAGGGUGAUCGGCCACACUGGAACUGAGACACGGUCCAGACUCCUACGGGAGGCAGCAGUAGGGAAUCUUCCGCAAUGGGAGAAAGCCUGACGGAGCAACGCCGCGUGAGUGAUGAAGGUCUUCGGAUCGUAAAACUCUGUUAUUAGGGAAGAACAUAUGUGUAAGUAACUGUGCACAUCUUGACGGUACCUAAUCAGAAAGCCACGGCUAACUACGUG
rnacentral:rRNA from 1 species